rnacentral:rRNA from 1 species
AUGGACCUGCGGUGCAUUAGCUAGUUGGUAGGGUAACGGCUACCAAGGCGAUGAUGCAUAGCCGAGUUGAGAGACUGAUCGGCCACAUUGGGACUGAGACACGGCCAAAACUCCUACGGGAGGCAGCAGUAGGGAAAUCUUCCACAAUGGACGCAAGUCUGAUGGAGCAACGCCGCGUGAGUGAAGAAGGGUUUCGGCUCGUAAAGCUCUGUUGUUGGUGAAGAAGGACAGGGGUAGUAACUGACCUUUGUUUGACGGUAAUCAAUUAGAAAGUCACGGCUAACUACGUGCCCAGCGCCGCGGUAAU